rnacentral:rRNA from 1 species
GACGAACGCUGGCGGCGUGCUUAACACAUGCAAGUCGAACGGAAAGGCCCUGCUUUUGUUGGGUGCUCGAGUGGCGAACGGGUGAGUAACACGUGAGUAACCUGCCCUUUACUUUGGGAUAACUUUUGGAAACUAGGGCUAAUACCGGAUAGGAGCUCCUGCUGCAUGGUGUGGGUUUGAAAGUUUCGAGGGUUUGGGAUGUACUCGCGGCUUCUCAGCUUGAUGUUGGGGUAGUGGCUUACCCAGGCUUUGGCGGCUAGCCGUCCUGGAAUGGUGAACGGCCACAUCUCGAAUGGGAGACAGCCGAGACGACUACGGGAGGAAGGAGGGAAGAAUAAUGCAGAAAGGGCGGAAGCGGGAAGAAGGAACGCCGCGUGUGGAAUGACGGUGUUCGGGUUGUAAAACUCUUUCGCUUGUAACGACGCGUGAGGGACGGUAAUGGGUAAAGAAGCACCGGCUAAUUAGUU